UACGUAGGGGGGCUAGCGUUGUCCGGAAUCAUUGGGCGUAAAGCGCGCGUAGGCGGCCCGGUAAGUCCGCUCUGAAAGUCCAGGGCUCAACCCUGGAAUGCGGGUGGAUACUGCCGGGCUAGAAUCCGGAAGAGGCGAGUGGAAUUCCUGGUGUAGCGGUGGAAUGCGCAGAUAUCAGGAGGAACACCAAUAGCGAAGGCAGCUCGCUGGGACGGUAUUGACGCUAAGGCGCGAAAAGCGUGGGGGAGCAAACAGG
rnacentral:rRNA from 1 species